AUGGCAGACACAACAAGGUUGCUUGUCUUUGAGCAAGAAAAAGACAAAUACUACAUAGUUACCCAAGCUGAGAACUACCCUGUAAAAGAACGCCGGAAAAGGUUAUACCUAGUGCAAGUUGGACUGAACGAAGAAGAGUACUCCUGCAUCUGUUGUUCAUUCCAGAAAGAUGGACUGUUGUGCUCACACAUACUAAGAGUAAUGAUCCAUCUCAACAUCGAGAAGAUACCAGAAAAAUACAACAUUGACAGAUGGAGGAAAAAUGACUACAAGCUCGAUAUUACAAAGACACCAGCUAUUGCAGUAGAGAACUCCACACUAAGGUACAAUGUGUUAGCAAGGAAAUUGGUGCAUGUGGCAUCAAUAGCUUCAAAGAAGAAGAGGAAGUAUGAAUAUCUGCUGGGAGAAUUGGACAGGAUACAGAAAAGAUUGCGAGAAAUGGAUGAUGAAGAAGAAACUGGAGAUGAGGGUCAGAGUGUAACCACAAGAACAGUCACUUUUAUACCAACAACAGGGGGUGAAGAGGGGACAACCACGACACUGACAAUACAAGACCCAGAUAUAGCCAAAACAAAGGGUAGGCCAAGGAUGCUAACUAUUCGCGAAGCAAUAAAGCAGAACAAGUUCUACAAAUGCUCGCACUGUGGGUCACAAAAGCACACUAUCAAGAAUUGCAGCAACCUUGACAAGCAAUACAAUCUAUCCAGAAGCAACAGACGAAAGCAGCCGAACCCUAGGAAUGUAAAGAAAGGUGGGGAGAAGGAUGACAGCAAGGAAAGGAACCGAGGAAAGAAGAAGAUGGACGAAUCAGCAACAAACAGAGGCUUAGGGGACAAGAAUCUGAGGAGGACAUAG
rnacentral:rRNA from 1 species